CGGAUAUCUUGGCUCUUGCAACGAUGAAAGAACGCAGCGAAAUGCGAUACGUAGUGUGAAUUGCAGAAUUCCGCGAAUCAUCGAGUCUUUGAACGCAAGUUGCGCCCGAGGCUUGUCCGAGGGCAUUUCCGCUAGAGCGUCACCGCG
rnacentral:rRNA from 1 species